AGCAGCCAUCCUUUAAAGAAAGCGUAAUAGCUCACUGGUCAAGCGGUCCGGUGCCGACAAUACAACGGGGCUAAAACUGUAUACCGAAGCAGCGGAUGCACACAUUAUAUGUGUGCGUGGUAGGAGAGCAUUCUCUCAUCAUCGAAGCGUAACUGAGAAGAUACGUGGAGGUUUGGGAAGAGACCCUGCCGGCAUAAGUAGCGAUAAUCAGUGUGAGAACCACUGACGCCGAAAGUCUAAGGUUUCCUGAGGAAGGUUAAUCCGCUCAGGGUUAGGCGGUCCCUAAGCUGAGGCCGAAAGGCGUAAGCGAUGGACAUCCGGUUAAUAUUCCGGACCUCCCGAUAUCUCGUUAUUACGAUGGGGUGACGCAGAAGGAUAAGCAGGACCACAUAUGGCUAUGUGGUUUGAUACACGCAAGCUGGUUUCUCCAGGCAAAUCCGGAGAGGCAUUAACAGUGAGGUGUAAAACAGUAAGCCUUACGGCUGAAAGCUGCUGAGUUCACGCUGCCAAGAAAAACCUCUAAGGAGAGAGAUUGGGAACCGUACCCCAAACCGACACAGGUAGACGAGGAGAAUAUCCAAAGGCGCUCGAGUGAAGGCUUGUUAAGGAACUCGGCAAAUUAGACCCGUAACUUCGGGAGAAGGGUCGCCCACCGCAAGGUGGGCCGCAGUGAAACGCGUACGGCGACUGUUUAACAAAAACACAGGUCUCUGCAAAGUCUAAAACGACGUAUAGGGGCUGACUCCUGCCCGGUGCCGGAAGGUUAAAGGGAGCGGUUAG
rnacentral:rRNA from 1 species